rnacentral:rRNA from 1 species
UACGUAGGGGGCAAGCGUUGUCCGGAAUUACUGGGCGUAAAGCGCGCGUAGGCGGGACGCGAAGUCGGGCGUGAAAGCCUCCGGCUCAACCGGAGAGGGCCGUCCGAAACUCGUGUUCUUGAGGGACGAAGAGGAGAGUGGAAUUCCCGGUGUAGCGGUGAAAUGCGUAGAGAUCGGGAGGAACACCCAUGGCGAAGGCAGCUCUCUGGUCGGCCCCUGACGCUGAGGUGCGAAAGCGUGGGGAGCGAACGGG